rnacentral:rRNA from 1 species
AACGAACGCUGGCGGCGUGCCUAACACAUGCAAGUCGAACGAGAAAGGGGCUUCGGCUCCGAGUAAAGUGGCGCACGGGUGAGUAACACGUGGGUAACCUGCCUCUAAGAUUGGGAUAACUCGUCGAAAGAUGAGCUAAUACCUAAUAAGACCACAGUUCCUGCGGGAACAGGGGUCAAAGGUAGCCUCUGCUUGCAAUCUAUUACUUAGAGAUGGGCCUGCGCACCAUUAGCUAGUUGGUAGGGUAACGGCCUACCAAGGCAAAGAUGGUUAGCUGGUCUGAGAGGAUGAUCAGCAACACUGGAACUGAGACACGGUCCAGACUCCUACGGGAGGCAGCAGUGGGGAAUAUUGCGCAAUGGGCGAAAGCUUGACGCAGCAACGCCGCGUGAGUGAUGAAGGCCUUCGGGUCGUAAAGCUCUGUCGGGAGGAACGAAUGCUCCUGAGGUUAACAGCCUCGGGAGGUGACGGUACCUUCAAAGGAAGCACCGGCUAACUCUGUGCCAGCCGCCGCCGUAAAAC